rnacentral:tRNA from 1 species
GUCCCCAUCGUCUAGAGGCUAGGACACUGCCCUUUCACGGCUGUAACAGGGUUCGAAUCCCCUUGGGGACGCCA